GUUUUGCUGGCAAAGCUUCCAGAGAAGCUGAAACUCGCGAGAGCAGAAAGCCAGCAAACAAUGCCUAGAUUCAAGGCUUUCAGAAAAAAACAGUAAGAUCCUCCUUUUUAGCUCCUGCCAAAACGAAGGAAAACAGCAGCUUCUUGUUUGAUUCUCCUUUUUAAAUCAAUCCAGGGUGAAUUAAAAAAAAAAAAAGCAUCAACCAAAGUUGCACACGGAAAGGGCCAUCGACCUCAAAAGAUUCUAAAAGGAACUUUGAUCAAAGAGAAUCACAUGCUUCGUUAUUCUUCGUGGGUCACAUUCCCUUUCAGGAUACAGUAAUUUAAAGAAGGAGGAGAAGAAUGAGAACAAAAGCAAGAACGAGGACAACAAGAAGAAGAGGAGUCGUCUAGUGGACAACACUGAUGAGAAACCAGACACUUUUCAUUCACUGGGCAACCAGGAAUGACUCAUGAGGAAAUCCUGCAUCCUUGCACUCUGAAAGUACAACGAUUCUGGCGCAUUACAGCUGCGAGGUCUUGGUGUUUCCCUCUAUCGCAUCAUAAAGCGAUCUGUGAUUUCUGCUCUGGAAGAAGCAGCCAAGGACUCCGGAGAAAUAGCUCGCAACCCCAUGGACAGAUACGAUCCCAAUCACGUUAUCUUUUGGUGACCAAAAGUGCACACCCAGUUAAAAAAAAAAAAAAAAAAAAAAAAAAAACCGUCGUCUGAGAAAGUCACUUUCUCCUGUUCCUUCCCUGUUUUGUUGUUCAUUGCCAAAAGUGUUCAAGACGCCCCGGCAAGCUGCAGAGUAGGUCACACCACCUGCCCCUCGAAUCGUCACUGUUCCUCCAUCGUUUCCUCCCCCCAAACUAAACGGAGUCGCAGACAGGAAUAGGUGAGGGUCUCGCACGGCCUCAGUUUACAAACCAAGAGAUGAGGCGAAAACAACCUUAAUUCGAAAUAAGGCAAUUGCACUCUGGUUCGCAACAAGCAGCUUUCCCUGCCAGCCAGGGAAUCCUCGCUCCGAACGCGGCCAGGAGCAGGCUGGCGGGGAGGGGG